GAAAAUGUGGUAUUGCAGUAUGGGUGUUUCUAGCAAUGAAGCAGUGUAAUAACCCCUUCCCGGGGGAGGCGGAUGAUGUGGUACUUCUGGCUAACUAGGAAGCUUUGGCAGUAUUCUGCCAAUGUUCUACCAGCAGAAGAAACAACACUGCUAUACCCAUGGUAUGUGCCCACGGUGUUCGUGUUCCCAUGGCAAACCAGUGGAAAUUGUCUUGUAGAAAUUUCUACUCCUACAAAAUAUUGAGGACUAAAAUAUACCACUGAGGACUUCAGGGAGUGUAUUCCUGCUGUCCUGCAGCUUUUCAGGGUCUGCUCCCCUUGCACAACAGGGAUGUGGAUAUGGAAAAAUAUGCUGACAGUAAUGUCACUGCCAUAGCUUUGCAAGGGGACCAGACUGUCAUUGUAAAAGCUCCAGUGUCAUCAGCCAGUUUAUUGUAUGGUCGCACAGUGGAAAUCUGGGACAAUUUGUAUCAUGCCCUAUAAAAGCCUGGCCCCGGGUGGCACAAUCUAGCCCUAAGGUAGGAAAAACUAUAGAAUACCCAAAAAAUGUUCAGGAGCAUCUUCUCAGCGAUUUUCUGCCUUUCUCCAAACCCCAUUAUGUUUUAGUAUGCACUUUAAUACAGAAGCCAACGCACCUUUUCUCCUCCAGA
rnacentral:lncRNA from 1 species